rnacentral:rRNA from 1 species
GUGGGGAAUCUUGCGCAAUGGGCGAAAGCCUGACGCAGCCAUGCCGCGUGGAUGAUGAAGGUCUUAGGAUUGUAAAAUCCUUUCACCGGUGAAGAUAAUGACUGUAGCCGGAGAAGAAGCCCCGGCUAACUUCGUGCCAGCAGCCGCGGUAAUACGAAGGGGGCUAGCGUUGCUCGGAUUUACUGGGCGUAAAGGGCGCGUAGGCGGACAUUUAAGUCAGGGGUGAAAUCCCGGGGCUCAACCUCGGAACUGCCUUUGAUACUGGGUGUCUUGAGUAUGAGAGAAGUGUGUGGAACUCCGAGUGUAGAGGUGAAAUUCGUAGAUAUUCGGAAGAACACCAGUGGCGAAGGCGACACACUGGCUCAUUACUGACGCUGAGGCGCGAAAGCGUGGGGAGCAAACAGGAUUAGAAACCCCAGUAGUCC